CCUACGGGAGGCAGCAGUGGGGAAUAUUGCACAAUGGGGGAAACCCUGAUGCAGCGACGCCGCGUGAGUGAAGAAGUAUCUCGGUACGUAAAGCUCUAUCAGCAGGGAAGAAAAUGACGGUACCUGACUAAGAAGCCCCGGCUAACUACGUGCCAGCAGCCGCGGUAAUACGUAGGGGGCAAGCGUUAUCCGGAUUUACUGGGUGGAAAGGGAGCGUAGACGGCAGCACAAGUCUGGAGUGAAAUCCCGGGGCUUAACCCCGGAACUGCUUUGGAAACUGUGCGGCUGGAGUGCAGGAGGGGUAAGCGGAAUGCCUAGUGUAGCGGUGAAAUGCGUAGAUAGUAGGAGGAACACCGGUAGCGAAGGCGGCUUACUGGACUGUAACUGACGUUGAGGCUCGAAAGCGUGGGGAGCAAACAGGAUUAGAUACCCCCGGUAGUC
rnacentral:rRNA from 1 species